GGAGGAGUCACAUAGCGGCCAUUGUAGCGGCUUGGAAAGCCGCGACCCGAAAGGGUCUCGUGGGUUCGAGUCCCACCUCCUCCGCCA
rnacentral:tRNA from 1 species